rnacentral:lncRNA from 1 species
UCGUUUGGUUACUGUAUAAGAGACAUCUUAUUCAUGUAUAAAAAGUUGCAUUAGCUUUACUGUGUUUGGUAGAAGUUUUGUAUUAGGUAUAAAAGUCAGCAUAACUUAUACCACGUUUGGUUGGUAAGAAUUUAAAUGCUGUAUAAAAGUUAUUCAUGUAUUAAUUUAUACGGUGUUUGGUUGCAUUUUUGUAGUCCUACAUAAUUAAUACCAACAUAACUUAUGAGGGAAUCUAUGUAUAAAGUUAUGCAGGGUAGAAGGUGG